rnacentral:rRNA from 1 species
GAUGAACGCUGGCGGCGUGCCUAAUACAUGCAAGUCGAGCGAACAGACGAGGAGCUUGCUCCUCUGACGUUAGCGGCGGACGGGUGAGUAACACGUGGAUAACCUACCUAUAAGACUGGGAUAACUUCGGGAAACCGGAGCUAAUACCGGAUAAUAUAUUGAACCGCAUGGUUCAAUAGUGAAAGACGGUUUUGCUGUCACUUAUAGAUGGAUCCGCGCCGCAUUAGCUAGUUGGUAAGGUAACGGCUUACCAAGGCAACGAUGCGUAGCCGACCUGAGAGGGUGAUCGGCCACACUGGAACUGAGACACGGUCCAGACUCCUACGGGAGGCAGCAAUAGGGAAUCUUCCGCAAUGGGCGAAAGCCUGACGGAGCAACGCCGCGUGAGUGAUGAAGGUCUUCGGAUCGUAAAACUCUGUUAUUAGGGAAGAAAAAAUGUGUAAGUAACUAUGCACGUCUUGACGGUACCUAAUCAGAAAGCCACGGCUAACUACGUG